rnacentral:tRNA from 6 species
GUCGGUGUACUCUUAAUCGGUAAAGCGGCGCUCGUCAGAAUAGCAGCCCUGACGGGAUGUAUAUGUGGGUUCGACCCCCACCAUCGACC